rnacentral:rRNA from 1 species
CAUUGAAUGUCUUAUCAUGGGAUGUUGCCACUUUCAAUUACAAUUGUCAACGAUAUACUCAUACAUACACACACAUUAUGCUUAUAUAUCAUUUGUGCCUUUAUGCACGCCAAUAUAAAUCUGUCAUACACACAUAGAUUUAUGAUUGUUUGAUUAUAUUGCUUUACUGCUGUAUAUCUUUGACGGUUAAAAAUGUCGAUGGGGAUAGUUGGAGUCAACAGUACUGCUGGGCGAGAGGUGAAAUUCAUUGACCCUAGCAAGACUACCAAAAGCGGAAGCAGUUGGCUAGGCUAUACUCUUUGUGAUUAUCUUGUCUUAUAUACAUUUUAUCGCACACAAUCUUGCAUAUCACACACAUACACAUCCCGCUUAUGCAUCUCUGCUGUGUAAUAUUUUGUAUGCAUGCGCAAGAUUCUAACACUUUACAAUGAAGAACGAAGGUUGGGGGAUCAAAGAGGAUCAGAUACCCUCGUCGUCCCAUUAAUUACAUCAAACGAUGGACUCUCAAUUGCAUUUAUACUCAGUAUAGUUGCAAAUUUCCUCAGCCUGCAAAUAUAUCUUGGCUUGAGCUUGUGAUCCUCGAUCACGCUCGCCUUUACAUUUAUUUCGUAUGGUCUCGAUGUGACGUUUCGAUUAUAUCUAAAUCUUUUUGCGUAUAAGCUUUAAUGCAUUUUAAUUCUUUGAAACAUAAGAUUAUUGCAUUGCGUGCACUUGAUUUUCGGAGCUUUGCGCUCAAUUCUGGUGAGAUGUAAGCACUAUGUUAUUUUGCCCGCUCACGUAAGUUUUGGUUUAAUCGCCACUUUUCGUUGUGCUGGUUUGCAUUAUAACACUUUCAGUGUGAAGCACGCUUUAGGCACGCGCUUACUGCAGAAAUGUCUGAGACAUUCUCCUCCGGGGGUAGUAUGCACGCAAGUGUGAAACUUGAAGGAAUUGACGGAAGGGCACCACAAGAACGCGUGGAGCAUGUGGCUUAAUUUGACUCAACGCGGGAAAUCUUACCGGGUCCGGACACACUGAGGAUUGACAGGCAAUAUUAUAAUAUUUGGCAUUAGCACUUCGGGUGAAUCGUCAUUAUUAUAUGUUAAAUAUGCUAGUCCUUUCAUGAUUAUGUGAUAGGUGGUGCAUGGCCGUUCUUAGUUCGUGGAGUGAUCUGUCUGCUUAAUUGCGUUUCACUAUUGGGUUCAUAUAAUUACGUAUGUUGUUGACGCUUUGACCCCUUUUUCUACGGAAAUUGCGCGUGUCUUAGUUUUUCGUUCAGCUCAUACAAUUGAACCCUGAAAGCAACGAACGUGACCGCAACCUCUUGUUGCUCUCAAUUUUGACUUACAUGUCUCUGGCAUAUAGUCAUGCUAUGAUUUCUCAUUUCAUUAUGAGAUUUCUUAGUUAAGAGAGCUUUCUAAACUAGAGGGACCGCUGUUACUUUCUUAAACCAGAGGAAGGUUGCGGCAAUAACAGGUCUGUGAUGCCCUUAGAUGUUCCGGGCUGCACACGUGCUACAAUGAUUAUUGCAGUGAGCAUCUCAUUUUUUACACAUCGCAUGCGCGAGUCCAAUUAUUCAUUGCUUCGGUAUGCUUUAAUUGUGUACCCCUGCGCGCGAUAAAGCCUACUUCGAAAGUAAGCGGGUAAUCAAUUAGAAGUAAUGAUUUCCUAUAUUUUUUUCUGCACACAUAUAUAUGGCACAUAUACCCGGGUAGCCUUGUUGCUACUUCUGUGCGUAUCUGUGAUGAUUUGCAUUUUUACAUGCAUCUCAUAUUACCAUAUGUGCAAUUGUCAAUUCAUGGUGGGGACAGACCAUUGUUAAUUGUUGGUCUCGGUCUUAACCAGGAAUGCCUUGUACGGAUCUUUGGUUCAACAAACCAUCCGGAAUACGUCCCUGCCCUUUGUACACACCGCCCGUCGCUCUUACCGAUGGACUUCUCUGUGAGUUUGAGGGACUGGUAUAUGAUCGUGUCUUCGGACACCUUCGACACUAUAGAAACUUAAACGAACAGUGGGGUCUAAAGGAAAGAGAAGUCGUAACAAGGAAUCACUAG